GGCGUGCGGGCUGAGGGGCCGGGGCUCGGCGGCCCCCGGCUGCCCUCGAGGACGCAGCAGGGAGGGGAGGUCGGCGGUGACUGGCGACGCCGGCCUGACUGCGGAGGCGGCGGGGCCGGGCUCCAGGACCCGCGGUGCGGUAAAGAGGAGGCGCCGGGCCGGGACGACGGUGCCCCCGCCUCCCGCCGGUUCCCCCGCCGCCGCCGCCGCGUCACGAGGCACACAGUCGCGCUGCGAAUCCGCCUUCGGCCGGACGGUAGUCCUCCCAGGAGGGAGACGAGGAGCCCCCGAGGAAACCGAGCCCGCGGGGCGGCAGGGGCGGGGGAGCGACAGGAUGUCCGGUUUGCGACCUAAGCGCCAGAGCAUGCAGUGCCGCGCGGUGAGCCCUGCUGCUACGUGCAAUGACAAAAAGAAGCCAGAGGUCAUUAAAAGCCAUCCUAUAUAGCACAGAAAGCAGAACUGCAGGCUCAGGAAAAAGAACAUAAUAUCAUCUGUGGCUAUUAUGGAUGGCUUACUGUGGACAAGGAGAACACUGACACACGACCGGACAGUGAAACCACGCAGAGGGAAGCGCUGUCGCAAACACCAGCAGUUGGGCUGAGUGUGUGUAGUGUGUGAAGGAAAGGACUCCCCACCCACGGGGAGGAGAGGAUUGCCAGCUAGCUCCACAGCUGAAGUGAUCAACAAGGAAUGGAGCCCUUGAUAUUUAGCCGGGUGCAUCACAGCCCAGAACAAGAGUCAUUUCUGAGCCACUCCGAGAACCAGAGCUCUGAACUACUUGGAUCCUGCCCAUCCAUGUAGUUGGCAGAGAUUCGUAAGGUGGAAGUCGUGCUUGCACUGCCUCCGCGAUGCUACCGCGGGUUUCUGUUUCCCAGUCCCCUGCCCCAGAACAAAACUGCUUUAUGAUUUCGGUGGCUUUCCAGUGGCUAUAGGACCAUCUGCAUGGGCGGCCUCAGUCUGUUGGGCUGUUCUCAAAGGAGUCCUUGACUGUUUCUUCAGUCCUCCCACUGGUCCUCGAAGCCAUAACCAAACCUGUGCUAAAUCCCGUUCUGAUUUAACUAGCUAAAGUGAAUUCUGUUUCCAGCAAGCGAGCUCUGACCAUACAAAGUUUGGAAUUUAGACGUGGGCUGCUGCCCUAAAAGAUAUUAACGGACACUUCCUUGAUUUAGCAGUCCAAGCAGCUGGUGACAAGGGCAGGUCUAACAGUGUGGGAGGCUGGAGACCCUCGUCAUUGGGCGUCCGAGUAUUUGAUAGAUGGUCACCUACAGGGCCCUGCGGGGCAGAUUGCAUAUUGCGGGAGCCUCUAGUGGCAGGUUCAAGGGUGGACAACUUCAUAAUGCUGUAGGCUGGUUGCUUCUGCUACUUUCAGCGAAGUUUUACCAGAGAAAGAUGAACUACAUGUACAUCUGCAAAAAUAAAUGAAAAGAAUGUGUCUGUUAAGGAAAGGACAGCAAUCUAAAGCUCCAGCAGAGUAUCUCACCUGCGGCAGGGAAGCCAAAAUAUUUGUGACCCUAAUAAUUUGGUGCCUUGCAGUGUUGAAAAAGCCAGUUGUGUCUGUACUUUCUCACUUAAGAAUUAUAAGAGUUUGCUCUGGGCAGCCAUGGUGGCGCAGCGGUUUGGUGCCGCCUGCAGCCUGGGGUGUGAUCCUGGAGACCUGGGAUCGAGUCCCAAUCCGGCUCCCUGCAUGGAGCCUGCUUCUCCCCCUCCCUCUGCCUGUGUCUCUGCCUCUCUCUGUGUGUCUAUGAAUAAAUAAAUAAAAUCUUUAAAAAAAAAAAAAA
rnacentral:lncRNA from 1 species